rnacentral:tRNA from 1 species
AAAGACUUAGGAUAACAUCACAAACCAAGGACCUUCAAAGUCCUAAAUGGGGGUGAAAGCCCCUCAGUCUUUG